AUGGAGCAGCUGAAGACCAUCCGGGAUGCGAGCCAGGCAGCUUAUGACGCCAGCUCUGCCCUCCAAAGCAAUGUCCAGAACUCUUGUGAUCUUGUGACUCGCUACUCAGAACUGGAACAGAAGCAUACUCAAGUCGAGCUGAGCUUGAAGCUGGUUCAGGAGAAGCUGACAAAGGCAAAGGAGGAGACUGAAGGUAAGGUAAGGGAGGCCCAGCAGAAGAAAGACCUUGAGCUAGCUGAGAAGAUCAAGCUUGCUGACGAGAAGUUAGCUUCAGUCACCAAGCUCGAACAAGACAAUACCAACCUGAAAACUGCUCUUGGAAUUGCCAACAAAGAAGUCAGUCGACUGAGAACUGACAAAGCUGCCUUGACCGACCAAGUCAGCAAAUUGACUGAAAAGAAGACUGAACUGGAGGCCUUCCUGAGUGGCUUUGCCAAGAAGCUGUUUCUUAUGCUCGAAGAAUUUUGUCAAAACUUUGAAGAAGAAACCAGCCGACUGGAGCCAAACCUUGACCCUGUCAAUUCUCCGGUGAAUGACGAGGUUGCCAUGGAUAUUUUCCGACUGGAGUCUCGCGUUGCAGCUGUCGUGGAUUAUCUCGCAAGGCUGAAGGCCGCCACAUCUCGCAUCGACUCGACGCUCUGGCCUGAGGAGACACUUCAGAAUGACCUUGAGUCACUAAUGGCCCGCUUGAACACGAUCCCUGGUCGAGUGCA
rnacentral:rRNA from 1 species